rnacentral:ncRNA from 1 species
UUGAAAUCGAUGAUAGAAGACGAGUAAGUAAAUGAUUCAUUAAAAGAGACUUAGUGAUUGCUGAAAACUAAGAUGAUAAUUUACUGAAGCUACUUUUUAAAGAGGUACUAAUUAUACCCGUAUAAUCUGCGUUAAAGAUAUCAAGUGUCUAUAUUAUAUAGAAACUAAGGUGGUACCACGGAUUAUAAUAAGUUCGUCCUUUAU